rnacentral:rRNA from 1 species
UACGGAGGGGACUAGCGUUGUUCGGAAUUACUGGGCGUAAAGCGCACGUAGGCGGAUUUGUAAGUCAGGGGUGAAAUCCCCGGGCUCAACCUGGGAACUGCAUCUGUGACUGCAUCGCUGGAGUGCGGCAGAGGGGGAUGGAAUUCCGCGUGUAGCAGUGAAAUGCGUAGAUAUGCGGAGGAACACCGAUGGCGAAGGCAAUCCCCUGGGCCUGCACUGACGCUCAUGCACGAAAGCGUGGGGAGCAAACAGG